AGAGUUUGAUUCUGGCUCAGAACUAACGCUGGCGGCGCGUCUUAAACAUGCAAGUCGAACGGUAGUCCUUGAGCUUGCUUAGGGAUGAGAGUGGCGAACGGGUGAGUAACACGUGGAUAAUCUGCCUCCGGGUUGGGGAUAACUGUCCGAAAGGACAGCUAAUACCGAAUGAGAUGGUGGUUACAUAAGUAGCAGCCAUUAAAGGUGGGGACCGCAAGGCCUACUGCCUGGAGAUGAGUCCGCGGCUGAUUAGCUUGUGUGGAUGGGGUAACGGCCUACCAAGGCGACGAUCAGUAGCCGGCCUGAGAGGGUGAACGGCCACAUUGGGACUGAGAUACGGCCCAGACUCCUACGGGAGG
rnacentral:rRNA from 1 species